rnacentral:rRNA from 1 species
UUUAGGUAGCGCCUCGUGAACUCAUCUUCGGGGGUAGAGCACUGUUUCGGCUAGGGGGCCAUCCCGGCUUACCAACCCGAUGCAAACUACGAAUACCGAAGAAUGUUAUCACGGGAGACACACGGCGGGUGCUAACGUCCGUCGUGAAGAGGGAAACAACCCAG